GAUGAACGCUGGCGGCGUGCCUAAUACAUGCAAGUCGAGCGAACGGACGAGAAGCUUGCUUCUCUGAUGUUAGCGGCGGACGGGUGAGUAACACGUGGAUAACCUACCUAUAAGACUGGGAUAACUUCGGGAAACCGGAGCUAAUACCGGAUAAUAUUUUGAACCGCAUGGUUCAAAAGUGAAAGACGGUCUUGCUGUCACUUAUAGAUGGAUCCGCGCUGCAUUAGCUAGUUGGUAAGGUAACGGCUUACCAAGGCAACGAUGCAUAGCCGACCUGAGAGGGUGAUCGGCCACACUGGAACUGAGACACGGUCCAGACUCCUACGGGAGGCAGCAGUAGGGAAUCUUCCGCAAUGGGCGAAAGCCUGACGGAGCAACGCCGCGUGAGUGAUGAAGGUCUUCGGAUCGUAAAACUCUGUUAUUAGGGAAGAACAUAUGUGUAAGUAACUGUGCACAUCUUGACGGUACCUAAUCAGAAAGCCACGGCUAACUACGUGCCAGCAGCCGCGGUAAUACGUAGGUGGCAAGCGUUAUCCGGAAUUAUUGGGCGUAAAGCGCGCGUAGGCGGUUUUUUAAGUCUGAUGUGAAAGCCCACGGCUCAACCGUGGAGGGUCAUUGGAAACUGGAAAACUUGAGUGCAGAAGAGGAAAGUGGAAUUCCAUGUGUAGCGGUGAAAUGCGCAGAGAUAUGGAGGAACACCAGUGGCGAAGGCGACUUUCUGGUCUGUAACUGACGCUGAUGUGCGAAAGCGUGGGGAUCAAACAGGAUUAGAUACCCUGGUAGUCCACGCCGUAAACGAUGAGUGCUAAGUGUUAGGGGGUUUCCGCCCCUUAGUGCUGCAGCUAACGCAUUAAGCACUCCGCCUGGGGAGUACGACCGCAAGGUUGAAACUCAAAGGAAUUGACGGGGACCCGCACAAGCGGUGGAGCAUGUGGUUUAAUUCGAAGCAACGCGAAGAACCUUACCAAAUCUUGACAUCCUUUGACAACUCUAGAGAUAGAGCUUUCCCCUUCGGGGGACAAAGUGACAGGUGGUGCAUGGUUGUCGUCAGCUCGUGUCGUGAGAUGUUGGGUUAAGUCCCGCAACGAGCGCAACCCUUAAGCUUAGUUGCCAUCAUUAAGUUGGGCACUCUAAGUUGACUGCCGGUGACAAACCGGAGGAAGGUGGGGAUGACGUCAAAUCAUCAUGCCCCUUAUGAUUUGGGCUACACACGUGCGACAAUGGACAAUACAAAGGGCAGCGAAACCGCGAGGUCAAGCAAAUCCCAUAAAGUUGUUCUCAGUUCGGAUUGUAGUCUGCAACUCGACUACAUGAAGCUGGAAUCGCUAGUAAUCGUAGAUCAGCAUGCUACGGUGAAUACGUUCCCGGGUCU
rnacentral:rRNA from 1 species